rnacentral:lncRNA from 1 species
ACAAUCAAUAAAGUGAUCAACGAUAAUAACAGCUGAGGGAACUGAAUUAAUAAACGCAUAAUAUUUAAGCAAAUUCCUAAUUACACAGUUAUGGCUCCCAGAACUUAUCAGAAUGUGUAGCAAGAGAUAGAAAGGAACCACACUUCCACGCACAAAACCCUGCUGUUUCUCUACCCAUUUGAGGUACUCGAAAAGCUGAAUUUGAAAAGGAGAGAACAUAAUUAAACUGGGAGAGGAUAAACCUGUGCCUUUUAUCAUUUAAAUUCCCAAGUUAGUAAAUUAUUUGGCACUAAUUACAUUAAGAGACUUUUUUUUUCCUCCAAAAAAUAUUAGACUUUGAAAUAUAAAGAAUAUUAGACUUUAAAAAUUAAAACUAUCGUGCUGAUAACGUGUUAUAAAACUAAUGAAAAGAGAGAUAUAAGAGAAGAAAUAAAU